rnacentral:misc_RNA from 1 species
GAUGAAGAACGCAGUGAAAUGCGAUAAGUAAUGUGAAUUGCAGAAUUCAGUGAAUCAUCGAAUCUUUGAACGCACAUUGCGCCCGCCAGUAUUCUGGCGGGCAUGCCUGUUCGAGCGUCAUUUCAACCAUCAAGCCCCCGGCUUGUGUUGGGGACCUGCGGCUGCCGCAGGCCCUGAAAACCAGUGGCGGGCUCGCUAGUCACUCCGAGCGUAGUAAUACAUCUCGCUCAGGGCGUGCUGCGGGUUCCGGCCGUUAAAAAGCCUUAUUUACCCAAGGUUGACCUCGGAUCAGGUAGGAAGACCCGCUGAACUUAAGCAUAUCAUAAGCGGAGGA